GACGAACGCUGGCGGCGUGCUUAACACAUGCAAGUCGAACGGAAAGGCCCUGCUUUUGUGGGGUGCUCGAGUGGCGAACGGGUGAGUAACACGUGAGUAACCUGCCCUUGACUUUGGGAUAACUUCAGGAAACUGGGGCUAAUACCGGAUAGGAGCUCCUGCUGCAUGGUGGGGGUUGGAAAGUUUCGGCGGUUGGGGAUGGACUCGGGGCUUAUCAGCUUGUUGGUGGGGUAGUGGCUUACCAAGGCUUUGACGGGUAGCCGGCCUGAGAGGGUGACCGGCCACAUUGGGACUGGGAUACGGCCCAGACUCCUACGGGAGGCAGCAGUGGGGAAUAUUGCACCAUGGGCGGAAGCCUGAUGCAGCAACGCCGCGUGCGGGAUGAAGGCCUUCGGGUUGUAAACCGCUUUCGCCUGUGACGAAGCGUGAGUGACGGUAAUGGGUAAAGAAGCACCGGCUAACUACGUG
rnacentral:rRNA from 1 species